rfam:Selaginella moellendorffii unplaced genomic scaffold SELMOscaffold_35, whole genome shotgun sequence.
GCUAGAGUAGCUCAGUUGGUUAGAGCAUGUGGCUGUUAACCACAGGGUCAAAGGUUCAAAUCCUCUCUCUAGCG